GGGGCUGCACCGGUUUCGACGUGGGUUCGGACACGCAGCAGGGCAUGUCGAGGGUCAGAGUACCUCGUUAAUCCAGCUGAAACAAACUAACUGCGAACGACGAACGUUUCGCCCUCGCCGCUUAAUUGCCGGUGAGCCUUGCAACAGUUGGCCGAUGGGCUGGGUUAGGGUCGCAAGGUCCUAGCUGCAAGGGUACUUAACAUUGGCUGGCUUCCGGGCGGGUGCCUUGCCCGGAGGCGAGAUCCAAGGGCACUGGCUGCUGGCGUAGCAGUGCGACUGCGCGACGCGAGUGGCGAGAUCCAAAACAGAUCGCUAAACAUGUAGAACUGCUCGGAGAAGGCUUGCGGACGCGGGUUCAAUUCCCGCCAGCUCCACCA
rnacentral:tmRNA from 1 species